UACGUAGGUGGCAAGCGUUGUCCGGAUUUACUGGGCGUAAAGAGCGCGCAGGCGGUCGUUCAAGUCGCGUGUGAAAGCCCCCGGCUCAACUGGGGAGGGUCACGCGAUACUGAUCGACUCGAAGGCAGGAGAGGGUAGUGGAAUUCCCGGUGUAGUGGUGAAAUGCGCAGAUAUCGGGAGGAACACCAAUGGCGAAGGCGGGUUGCUGGGCUGACACUGAGCUGAAGCGCGAAAGCUAGGGGAGCGAACGGG
rnacentral:rRNA from 1 species